UGCACAGGCGCAGGCCCGAGCAAACGCAG
rnacentral:piRNA from 1 species